rnacentral:rRNA from 1 species
GGACGAACGCUGGCGGCGUGCCUAAUACAUGCAAGUAGAACGCUGAAGAGAGGAGCUUGCUCUUCUUGGAUGCGUUGCGAACGGGUGAGUAACGCGUAGGUAACCUGCCUUGUAGCGGGGGAUAACUAUUGGAAACGAUAGCUAAUACCGCAUAACAAUGGAUGACACAUGUCAUUUAUUUGAAAGGGGCAAUUGCUCCACUACAAGAUGGACCUGCGUUGUAUUAGCUAGUAGGUGAGGUAAUGGCUCACCUAGGCGACGAUACAUAGCCGACCUGAGAGGGUGAUCGGCCACACUGGGACUGAGACACGGCCCAGACUCCUACGGGAGGCAGCAGUAGGGAAUCUUCGGCAAUAGGGGCAACCCUGACCGAGCAACGCCGCGUGAGUGAAGAAGGUUUUCGGAUCGUAAAGCUCUGUUGUAAGUCAAGAACGGGUGUGAGAGUGGAAAGUUCACACUGUGACGGUAGCUUACCAGAAAGGGACGGCUAACUACGUG